rnacentral:rRNA from 1 species
CCUACGGGUGGCAGCAGUGGGGAAUAUUGCACAAUGGGGGAAACCCUGAUGCAGCAACGCAGCGUGAGGGAUGAAGGCCUUCGGGUCGUAAAGCUCUGUCUGCAGGGAAGAAAAUGACGGUACCUGACGAGGAAGCCACGGCUAACUACGUGCCAGCAGCCGCGGUAAUACGUAGGUGGCGAGCGUUAUCCGGAUUUACUGGGCGUAAAGGGAGCGUAGGCGGCAUUUCAAGUGAGAUGUGAAAGCCUCGGGCUCAACGUGGGUACUGCCUUUCAAACUGGCAGUCUAGAGUGCAGGAGAGGUGAGUGGAAUUCCUAGUGUAGCGGUGAAAUGCGUAGAUAUUAGGAGGAACACCAGUGGCGAAGGCGACUCUCUGGACUGUAACUGACGCUGAGGCUCGAAAGCGUGGGGAGCAAACAGGAUUAGAUACCCGAGUAGUC